GGGGUUAUAGCUCAGUGCUAGAGCAUUUGACUGCAGAUCAAGAGGUCCCUGGUGCCCCCU
rfam:Salmo salar isolate Sally breed double haploid chromosome ssa09, whole genome shotgun sequence.